CCUACGGGCGGCUGCAGUGGGGAAUAUUGCACAAUGGGCGCAAGCCUGAUGCAGCCAUGCCGCGUGUGUGAAGAAGGCCUUCGGGUUGUAAAGCACUUUCAGCGGGGAGGAAGGCGGUGAGGUUAAUAACCUCAUCGAUUGACGUUACCCGCAGAAGAAGCACCGGCUAACUCCGUGCCAGCAGCCGCGGUAAUACGGAGGGUGCAAGCGUUAAUCGGAAUUACUGGGCGUAAAGCGCACGCAGGCGGUCUGUCAAGUCGGAUGUGAAAUCCCCGGGCUCAACCUGGGAACUGCAUUCGAAACUGGCAGGCUAGAGUCUUGUAGAGGGGGGUAGAAUUCCAGGUGUAGCGGUGAAAUGCGUAGAGAUCUGGAGGAGUACCGGUGGCGAAGGCGGCCCCCUGGACAAAGACUGACGCUCAGGUGCGAAGGCGUGGGGAGCAAACAGGAUUAGAUACCCUAGUAGUC
rnacentral:rRNA from 1 species